rnacentral:rRNA from 1 species
AUUGAACGCUGGCGGCAGGCCUAAUACAUGCAAGUCGAACGAGUGGCGGACGGGUGAGUAAGGUCUGGGAAACUGCCGGUUGGAGAGGGAUAACUACUGGAAACGGUAGCUAAUACGGCAUACCAUGGGAUGUGGCCAGAUGGGAUUAGCUAGUAGGUGGGGUAACGGCUUACCUAGGCGACGAUCCAUAGCUGGUCUGAGAGGUUGACCGGCCGAACUGGGACUGAGACACGGUCCAGACUCCUACGGGAGGCAGCAGUGGGGAAUAUUGCACAAGGGGCGCAAGCCUGAUGCAGCCAUGCCGCGUGUAUGAAGAAGGCCUUCGGGUUGUAAAGUACUUUCAGCGAGGAAGCGUUACUCGCAGAAGAAGCACAGGCUAACUCCGUGCCAGCCGCCGCGGUAAUAC